UCGAGAAUCUUUCACAAUGGGGGCAACCCUGAUGGAGCGACGCCGCGUGGAGGAUGAAGGGAUUCGUCUUGUAAACUCCUGUCACCACAGAACAAGGUCUGUGUAUUAAUAACAUGCAGAUUUGAUGGUAUGUGGAGAGGAAGGGACGGCUAACUCUGUGCCAGCAGCCGCGGUAAUACAGAGGUCCCAAGCGUUGUUCGGAUUCACUGGGCGUAAAGGGUGCGUAGGAGGCCGGGAAAGUCUGAUGUGAAAUCCCACCGCUUAACGGUGGAAUGGCAUUGGAUACUGCUCGGCUGGAGGACUGGAGGGGAAAGCGGAAUUCCUGGUGUAGCGGUGAAAUGCGUAGAUAUCAGGAGGAACACCAACGGCGAAGGCAGCUUUCUGGACAGUUCCUGACUCUGAGGCACGAAGGCCAGGGGAGCAAACGGG
rnacentral:rRNA from 1 species